UACGGAGGGUCCAAGCGUUAUCCGGAAUCAUUGGGUUUAAAGGGUGCGCAGGCGGUAAAGUAAGUCAGUGGUGAAAUCUCUCGGCUCAACCGAGAAACUGCCAUUGAUACUGCUAUACUUGAAUACAGUUGGAGUAGGCGGAAUGUGUAGUGUAGCGGUGAAAUGCUUAGAUAUUACACAGAACACCGAUAGCGAAGGCAGCUUACUAAACUGAUAUUGACGCUCAUGCACGAAAGCGUGGGGAGCGAACAGG
rnacentral:rRNA from 1 species